GCAGACACAUUCCAGCCAAUCAGCAGCAGACCCUCCCUCCCAGACCCUCCCAACUCCUGGACAGCAUCCAUUUUGAAGCUGCAUUCUUAGUGAGCUGUCCAGGAGGUGGGAGGGUCUGGGAGGGAGGGUCUGCUGCUGAUUGGCUGGAAUGUGUCUG